rnacentral:tRNA from 1 species
GCCCGUGUAGCCCAAUAGGCAGAGGCGCUUGAUUCAAAAUCAGGUCAGUGAAGGUUCGAGUCCUUCCAUGGGUA